GAUGAAGAACGUAGCGAAAUGCGAUAAGUAAUGUGAAUUGCAGAAUUCAGUGAAUCAUCGAAUCUUUGAACGCACAUUGCGCCCGCCAGUAUUCUGGCGGGCAUGCCUGUUCGAGCGUCAUUUCAACCCUCAGGCCCCGCCUGGCGUUGGGGAUCGGCGCGGCCCUCUCCGGGCUGCCGGCCCCGAAAACUAGUGGCGGUCUCGCUGUAGUCCUCCUCUGCGCAGUAGCAACGCUCGCACUGGAACUCGGCGCGGCCACGCCGUAAAACACACCACUUCUGAAAGUUGACCUCGGAUCAGGUAGGAAUACCCGCUGAACUUAAGCAUAUCAAUAAGCGGAGGA
rnacentral:misc_RNA from 1 species